AGAGACUGAUCAUGGCUCAGAUUGAACGCUGGCGGUAUGCUUAACACAUGCAAGUCGAACGGUAACAUAACUAGCUUGCUAGUUGAUGACGAGUGGCGGACGGGGGAGUAAUGGACGGGUGAGUAAUGCGUAGGAAUCUACCUAAAGGCGGGGGAUAACUUGGGGAAACUCAAGCUAAUACCGCAUAAUACCUAAGGGUUAAAGCAGGCCACUUCUUGAAAGCUUCGACCGAUAGAUGAGCCUGCGUUAGAUUAGCUAGUUGGUAGGGUAAUGGCCUACCAAGGCGACGAUCUAUAGCUGGUCUGAGAGGAUGAUCAGCCACACUGGGACUGAGACACGGCCCAGACUCCUACGGGAGGCAGCAGUGGGGAAUAUUGGACAAUGGGCGCAAGCCUGAUCCAGCAAUACCGCGUGUGUGAAGAAGGCCUUAGGGUUGUAAAGCACUUUUAUGAGUGAAGAAAUGUUAUGGAGUUAAUAGCUCUGGGUCUUGACUUAACCUAUAGAAGAAGCACCGGCUAACUCCGUGCCAGCAGCCGCGGUAAUACGGAGGGUGCAAGCGUUAAUCGGAAUUACUGGGCGUAAAGCGCUCGUAGGCGGCUUGUUAAGUCGGAUGUGAAAGCCCCGGGCUCAACCUGGGAACUGCAUUCGAUACUGGCAGGCUAGAGUAUAGUAGAGGCAAGUGGAAUUCCAGGUGUAGCGGUGAAAUGCGUAGAUAUCUGGAGGAACAUCAGUGGCGAAGGCGACUUGCUGGACUAAUACUGACGCUGAGGAGCGAAAGCGUGGGGAGCAAACGGGAUUAGAUACCCCGGUAGUCCACGCCGUAAACGAUGUCUAUUAGCCGUUGGGGGUCUUAGUAGUGGCGCAGCUAACGCAUUAAGUUGACCGCCUGGGGAGUACGGUCGCAAGAUUGAAACUCAAAGGAAUUGACGGGGGCCCGCACAAGCGGUGGAGCAUGUGGUUUAAUUCGAUGCAACGCGAAGAACCUUACCAUCCCUUGACAUCCUCAGAAAUUUGUCGUAAUGACUUAGUGCCUUCGGGAACUGAGAGACAGGUGCUGCACGGCUGUCGUCAGCUCGUGUCGUGAGAUGUUGGGUUAAGUCCCGCAACGAGCGCAACCCCUAUCCUUAUUUGCCAGCACGUUAUGGUGGGAACUCUAAGGAGACUGCCGGUGAUAAGCCGGAGGAAGGUGGGGACGACGUCAAGUCAUCAUGGCCCUUACGGGAUGGGCUACACACGUGCUACAAUGGUGCAUACAGAGGGUUGCCAACCCGCGAGGGGGAGCUAAUCCCAGAAAGUGCAUCUUAGUCCGGAUCGCAGUCUGCAACUCGACUGCGUGAAGUUGGAAUCGCUAGUAAUCGCGAAUCAGCAACGUCGCGGUGAAUACGUUCCCGGGCCUUGUACACACCGCCCGUCACACCAUGGGAGUGGGUUGCACCAGAAGUAGCUAGACUAACCUUCGGGAGGUCGGUUACCACGGUGUGGUUCAUGACUGGGGUGAAGUCGUAACAAGGUAGCCGUA
rnacentral:rRNA from 1 species